rfam:Gossypium raimondii Chr13_contig_373, whole genome shotgun sequence.
AAAUCUUGUGGUGAGGGCAUUUGUGUAGUACCUCUUUGAAUCUUUCCCAUGCCUUGUAUAGGGAUUCGUCAUCCAUUUGCUGAAAAGUGGUGAUCUCAUUCCGCAAUUU